CUGACUCAGCUAAGAGAGAGCUUUUACCUGGUGCAAGGCUGACACACUCAGAUGCCUCCAGGGUCCUGGCGUGUGAAUAAGUACAUGAACAGGGCUGGAGUGGAGACCUGAAUGACCCAGAGAGGGCACGAUGCAUCUAAAAGGCAUUUACACUUCAUAACAAGAAUCCCUGUAUUGGUUUAAUAAGACACUGCAGGCCAGACCACCCCACUGGAGCUCAGAUCUAGAAGAGUGUGGACAUCAUCUAUGACAUCUUUCCUAAAAUUUGUUUCUCUCAGUAGAAUGUUUAGACGGUAUUGAAGAGCAGUCAGUCGUGGGCAUAUUUUCUGACAGGUGCCUCAUCUGCAGAUGACCCCUGUUGCCAGUUGAUCACACAGCUGGAUGUUUUACCCGUCGGACAGACUGGGGGAGGUGAAGCCAUUUGUUUUUUCAGCUGAGGCCUUCGGGAAUCCAGAGGCAAGGGGAGGGCCCAACUCCACUGUGGCCUUUGGCCUUCAGGCACCAUUCUGGAUGCACCACGACAGAAGUAAGCCAACAGUUUUGGGACACUGUACUUAUAACUUGGGUGGUAAAUGGGAAUCACAUAAAAAUAUUAUUUUGAAGUUUUGAUUAUGGCUGUAUUUGGAAUAUUUGUGCAUGCAAAGGGGAGGCCAUUGAUAGGGAUAAUCAGAAUCAGGUUCUUUAGUGUUUCAGGGAAGCAAGGAAAAUACUUUAAAAUUGGAUUAUAGUACUGGAGGAUGAUAACAUGAGGUCUUUUCUGGAGUCUCAACAGUGGGAUGGUUUAAUAGCUGGGCAGUCUGUCUGUUGUUAUAUAUAUGCACACAUCCAGGCACACAUGUGCACAUACACAUGUACUUAGCCUGGAGUUCUGUCUGCGUCCUGUGAUAUUGUGGUUUGGUUCCGAGAGCUCAUGGACCAGUCUUCAGAGUGAGUGCAUGCAGUACAUGAAAUGCCAGGGUGCUGUGUAGUUCUCUGUGAUCCAGUGCCCUCAAGAUCUAAAUUUCCAAGCCGGAGAAAAGGCAGUCUGUUAAUUUAUUUCCUAGUAUCACGCGAUCCCAUUGUAUGCAAAUUGAAUUAUGUAAAUUUCAACUAAUGACACAUAAAUGAUAAUAAAAGUUUCAUGUUAUGUGCAAAAUUUCGGCAGGCACAUUCCCCAAAUUAUGCAUCAGGCCAUCUCUGUUUUCAAAGCCAGCAAGUCAACUGAAUUGUAAAAAUGCUUUGUUACCCAAUGUCACAUCCUUUUCAAGAGAAAUACCUUCUAACCCUUGGCAAUAUUAUGUGAACUCUUGUUGCUUACAGAUAUCCUUCAUGGAUUUAAGUGACAUUUGUGUUAUUAUUUUCAAAUUAGCUUAUAACUCAAACCUUUAUUACAGCAUUCAGAGUAUCCGAAUUGUGCUAAUAAUACUCAUGCUGGAAAACAUCCUGAAAAUCUGUAAUUUUGGAACAGAAAUAGGAUAAAACACUAUGCUAUGCCAUACUGUCAAUUUAUGAGGUACAACUGAGAAAUAUUAGAGAUAGUGCUGAUAUUAAAAAGCAUCAGUAAAGCAAAAACACAGCACAGCGGCUGGGCUGCAGAUGUAUGUGCUCCGAGGAUGCAUUCCCCAUACUCCGCCCGCAGACUGUGAGAUAAUCAGUCUUGAAUUAUGUAAGUUCUUUAGGAACACAUCUCAUGAAUCAAAGGCAGCCAUGCUUUUUGUGAAUCCCUGUUACCCAGGCUUGGAAAAGAUCUUUUUAGGUUGAAAAUUACAUAUAGCAAGGUACUCUGCUGACACUGAGUAGAAGAUCUUUAAGGGGCUAGGAGAACAGAAUUUUCCUUCUGCUUCUUUAAAACUUGUCAGUACAUAUUUAGUGACUUAUUUUAUGCAUGCCACCCUGCUUUGUUUGUGGGGGGAAAGCACUUAUUUUUUGCACUUACUUACAGAUGGAGAAAGGAGGAUGGUCACUUCCUGGUUGUAGCUUUGCUCUAAAUGGAGUCCUUUUGUUUCUGCAUCAAGUAAUAUAAAGUGAUAGGGCUUUUAAUAAUAAUAGCUUGUAUUUAAAUGGUGCUCAUUAUGGGCGGGGCACCAUUCAAACUGCCCUAAUAACCCCUUUGAUAUUCAUGGCAACCCUUUGAGGUAGGUGCUCACUCUUGUUGCUGCCGUUUUAUAGGUGAGAAGAAAGAAGCCCAGGGAGGUUGAAGUGACUAGUCAGAGGUCUUAAAACUGCCAAGUUCAGAGCUGAGAGUCAAUCCAGGCUGGUUGGCUGGCUCCAGACUCAGCAUCCUCAAUCACCAUGCUCCGACCCCUUGGGAAGCUUGAAGAUAGAUGCACAUCCUCCGGUCAGAACAGUCGCUCCCCGCGCCCCCCCUGCCGCCCCGGGAACUUGCUCUGCAGACACGAGGGUGUGCUCCCACUAAGAGGAGUUACUGUAUGGAACAGGGAACAGAGCCGUAUCAUAAAACAGUUGUUCAGAAACCUUAAUGCUUGCAAUUGGUACCUGGAUGCUGAAGGAGGGUAGAAUAGAUCACGAAGCCCCUUGUGCGACGCCCCUGAUCUGCAGCUUCGGGAGGCCGGUGGACCUGGAGAAGGACGACUACCAGAAGGUGGUGUGCAACAACGAGCAGUGCCCGCACAGCUCCUGGAUGCACCUGCAGUGCUUCUACGAGUGGGAGAGCAGCAUCCUGGUCCAGUUCAACUGCAUCGGCCGCGCCCGCAGCUGGAACGAGAAGCAGUGCCGCCAGAACAUGUGGACCAAGAAGGGCUACGACCUGGCCUUCCGCUUCUGCUCCUGCCGCUGCGGCCAGGGCCACCUGAAGAAGGACACGGACUGGUACCCGGUGAAGCGGAUGCAGGACGAGAAGAAGAAGAAGUCGGGGUCGGAGAAGAACAGCGGGAGGCCCCCCGGUGAGGCGGUGGAGGAGGCCAAGAAGUGCCGCCCGCCCUCCAAGCCCCAGAAAGGCCUGAGCCACGACCUGCCCCGCCGGCACUCCAUGGACCGGCAGAACUCGCAGGAGAAGGGCGGCGCCGGGGCUGGCGCAGCAGCCUACGGGGCGCGCUCGCCCUGCGGCUCCCCGGGCCAGUCCCCGCCCACCGGCUACUCCAUCCUCUCCCCUGCCCACUUCAGCGGCCCCCGCUCCUCCAGGUACCUCGGGGAGUUCCUCAAGAACGCCAUCCACCUGGAGCCUCACAAAAAGGCCCUGGCCGGGGGCCACGUGUUCCGAAACGCCCACUUUGACUACAGUCCGGCGGGGUUGUCCGUUCACAGGGGGGGCCACUUCGAUGCGCCCGUGCAGUUCCUCCGGCGCCUGGACCUGUCCGAGCUCCUGACUCACAUCCCCCGGCACAAGCUGAACACUUUCCACGUGCGGAUGGAGGACGAUGCCCAGAUGGGCCAGGGCGAGGACCUACGCAAGUUCAUCCUGGCAGCCCUGAGCGCCAGCCACAGGAACGUGGUGAACUGCGCGCUGUGCCACCGGGCGCUCCCGGUGUUCGAGCAGUUCCCGCUGGUGGACGGAACUCUGUUCUUAAGCCCCUCGAGACACGAUGAGAUCGAGUACGAUGUUCCCUGUCACCUUCAAGGGAGGCUCAUGCACCUGUACGCCGUGUGCGUGGACUGCCUGGAGGGUGUGCACAAGAUCAUCUGCAUCAAGUGUAAGUCGCGGUGGGACGGCAGCUGGCACCAGCUGGGCACCAUGUACACCUACGACAUCCUGGCCGCCUCGCCGUGCUGCCAGGCCCGCCUGAACUGCAAGCACUGCGGGAAGCCGGUGAUCGACGUGCGGGUUGGCAUGCAGUACUUCUCCGAGUACAGCAACGUCCAGCAGUGUCCGCACUGUGGCAACCUGGACUACCAUUUCGUGAAGCCAUUUUCCUCCUUCAAAGUUCUUGAAGCUUAUUGAUGAAAGCUUUGCUUUAGUAAUAGCUAUUUUAUUGAUAUUACUUUGUUACAUAUCUUUUCUAGGGAAGCCUUCUGUGACAUUCGUUUCUUUUCUAAUCGAAAGGAGAGUUCCUUUGUGUACGCGUGCCACUUCCAGGGGGCCUGCCCCUUCCCUCUCUGACUCCCACGUGUUAGUCUGUGGCCAUGACCAGAGCCCAGUCAGGUCAUUGAAAGAAAACAUAAUGGAUGGGCAUCAUUAACACCAGCUUAAAAAUAUGUUCUUGUCAGUAAAGAUUUCUUGUCAAGAUGUCUUUGGAUUGCACUUUUGUUGAGAGAAGACUGUGUAAAUAGUUAAAGAAUGUUGAUAAAAUUGAAACAUUUGGAAUUGUGUGGUGUUAGAAGGUUUCUGUUUGUGAAAUGUAUGUAUUAAAAAUAAUAAAAUUUCAGAAACUAAUAUUGUA